rnacentral:rRNA from 1 species
UACGUAGGGUGCGAGCGUUAAUCGGAAUUACUGGGCGUAAAGCGUGCGCAGGUGGUCAUGCAAGACAGAUGUGAAAUCCCCGGGCUUAACCUGGGAACUGCAUUUGUGACUGCACGGCUAGAGUGCGGCAGAGGGGGAUGGAAUUCCGCGUGUAGCAGUGAAAUGCGCAGAUAUCAGGAGGAACACCGAUGGCGAAGGCAGUGAUCUGGGCCGGUACUGACGCUGAGGAGCGAAAGCGUGGGUAGCAAACAGG